UAGCAUAUCAAUAAGCGGAGGAAAAGAAACUAACAAGGAUUCCCCUAGUAACUGCGAGUGAAGCGGGAAAAGCUCAAAUUUAAAAUCUGGCGGUCUUUGGCCGUCCGAAUUGUAGUCUGGAGAAGUGUUUUCCGCGCUGGACCGUGUACAAGUCUCUUGGAAUAGAGCGUCAUAGAGGGUGAGAAUCCCGUCUUUGACACGGACUGCCAGUGCUUUGUGAUGCGCUCUCAAAGAGUCGAGUUGUUUGGGAAUGCAGCUCAAAAUGGGAGGUAAAUUCCUUCUAAAGCUAAAUAUUGGCGAGAGACCGAUAGCGAACAAGUACCGUGAGGGAAAGAUGAAAAGCACUUUGGAAAGAGAGUUAAACAGUACGUGAAAUUGCUAAAAGGGAAACGCUUGAAGUCAGUCGCGUCAUUCAGAACUCAGCCCGGCUUUUGCUUGGUGCAUUUUCUGUUUGACGGGCCAGCAUCAAUUUUGACCGUUGGAUAAAGGCUUUGGGAAUGUGGCAUCUUCGGAUGUGUUAUAGCCCUUGGUUGCAUACAACGGUUGGGAUUGAGGAUCACAGCAUGCCUUUAUGGUCGGGGUUCGCCCACGUUCAUGCUUAGGAUGCUGGCGUAAUGGCUUUAAACGACCCGUCUUGAAACACGGACCAAGGAGUCUAACAUGCCUGCGAGUGUUUGGGUGGAAAACCCGAGCGCGUAAUGAAAGUGAUAGUUGGGAUCCCUGUCGUGGGGAGCACCGACGCCCGGACCAGACCUUUUGUGACGGAUCCGCGGUAGAGCAUGUAUGUUGGGACCCGAAAGAUGGUGAACUAUGCCUGAAUAGGGUGAAGCCAGAGGAAACUCUGGUGGAGGCUCGUAGCGAUUCUGACGUGCAAAUCGAUCGUCAAAUUUGGGUAUAGGGGCGAAAGACUAAUCGAACCAUCUAGUAGCUGGUUCCUGCGA
rnacentral:rRNA from 1 species